rnacentral:lncRNA from 1 species
UACAUGUAUUGUAAUUUUAUUUGAUCGGUAUAUAAUACCUAUAGAUAGAUAAAUGCAAAGAAAAUGAUAAUGAUGAUAAUACACAUUUACGUGAUCCAGCAACAAUAAUAUGUAUAAAUUUAUUGAUAUAGACAAAUUUUGUAAGUUAUUUUAAUAAAAAAUCGUAUUAAUAAUAAAUACCCUAUAUCCCGAAAAGAUAUAAAAAACAUAAUUAAAAAAAGUAACAAUACAUAACCCAACUGUUAUCAUCGGAAUAUAAUAUCAAAAUCAACAAAUGUUUCUAAUCUACACCACCGCCUGGAAGUAUUAUUCUUUUGUUUCAGUUCGUCAUGGCGGUGCAGCCAAUCAGAUACGAAGAAGAUGUAUGUAUUGUUGUCGCAAUGAAAAGCUCCCUAUCGUAUUGUGUCUCCCGCUUCUCGAAGCUCGAUUCAGAUUAUUGUGAGCAGAGGCGUACAUUGAAAUACUGCUUAGAAAAAAAUUGAGUGUUUACAAAAUAUUACUCUUUCUACAUUUAUUUGUUAUCAGAUAUGUCAGAUUUAAGGUUUUAUUUUGCAGGAAACAAAAUCAUAGCCAUGGAAAAUAACCAAGACGAAUAGAGAAACAAGACAAAUAGAGCCCAAAUAUCAAAAUGGAACGUAAUAAGGGAAGAUCCUAGUUCAGAACUAACUCACGUAUGGAGACAUCUGGAAGGAUGACUCAUCAGACGAGCGAGGAAAAGAUUUCUCGAGAAAGAUUGCCUACGCAUUACUAAAGUUGGGCGGUUCAGUUUUACUGGAACGUUCAAGAACAUGGCUUGUAUUUUUGUAUUCAAUAUAAAUAAGGAUGAAAUUUUUAGUAGUUAGUCUGUAAAAAUAAAUUCGUCUGUACAGUUAUAUAAAUAAAGUCGUAUAUAAA